rnacentral:rRNA from 1 species
GACAGAGGGUGCAACCGUUGUUCGGAAUUACUGGGCGUAAAGCGCGUGUAGGCUGCUUGGAAAGUCGGAUGUGAAAGCCCUGGGCUCAACCCAGGAAGUGCACUCGAAACUUCCGAGCUCGAGUUCUGGAGAGGAUAGCGGAAUUCUCGGUGUAGAGGUGAAAUUCGUAGAUAUCGAGAGGAACACCGGUGGCGAAGGCGGCUAUCUGGACAGAAACUGACGCUGAGACGCGAAAGCGUGGGGAGCAAACAGG